UACGGAGGGGGCUAGCGUUGUUCGGAAUUACUGGGCGUAAAGCGCACGUAGGCGGCUUUGUAAGUUAGAGGUGAAAGCCCGGAGCUCAACUCCGGAAUUGCCUUUAAGACUGCAUCGCUUGAAUCAUGGAGAGGUGAGUGGAAUUCCGAGUGUAGAGGUGAAAUUCGUAGAUAUUCGGAAGAAACACCAGUGGCGAAGGCGACUCACUGGACAUGUAUUGACGCUGAGGUGCGAAAGCGUGGGGAGCAAACAGGG
rnacentral:rRNA from 1 species